rnacentral:rRNA from 1 species
GACGAACGCUGGCGGCGUGCUUAACACAUGCAAGUCGAACGGAAAGGCCCUGCUUUUGUGGGGUGCUCGAGUGGCGAACGGGUGAGUAACACGUGAGUAACCUGCCCUUGACUUUGGGAUAACUUCAGGAAACUGGGGCUAAUACCGGAUAGGAGCUCCUGCUGCAUGGUGGGGGUUGGAAAGUUUCGGCGGUUGGGGAUGGACUCGCGGCUUAUCAGCUUGUUGGUGGGGUAGUUGCUUACCAAGGUUUUGACGGGUAGCCGGCCUGUGAGGGUGACCGGCAACAUUGGGAAAGAGAUACGGCCCAGACUGCUGCGGGAGGCAGGAGUGAGGAAUAUUGCAAGAUGGGCGGGAGCCGGAUGAAGAAACGACGCGGGAGGGAUGAAGGCCUUAGGGUUGUAAACCGCUUUAGCCUGUGACGAAGAGUGAGUGAAGAUAAUGGGUAAAGAAGCGCCGGAUAAAUACAUG